rnacentral:rRNA from 1 species
GUUUUCCUACGGGGCGCAGCAGUGGGGAAUAUUGCACAAUGGGGGAAACCCUGAUGCAGCGACGCCGCGUGAGCGAGGAAGUACCUCGGUAUGUAAAGCUCUGUCAGCAGGGAAGAAAACGACAGUACCUGACCAAGAAGCCCCGGCUAACUACGUGCCAGCAGCCGCGGUAAUACGGAGGAUGCGAGCGUUAUCCGGAUUUAUUGGGUUUAAAGGGUGCGCAGGCGGGCUGUUAAGCCGGCGGUAAAAAUUCAGGGCUCAACCCUGUCGAGCCGUCGGAACUGGCAGCCUUGAGUGGGCGGGAG